UCUACGGGAGGCAGCAGUGGGGAAUAUUGCACAAUGGGCGGAAGCCUGAUGCAGCGACGCCGCGUGGGGGAUGACGGCCUUCGGGUUGUAAACUCCUUUCACCAUCGACGAAGGUUUUCUGACGGUAGAUGGAGAAGAAGCACCGGCUAACUACGUGCCAGCAGCCGCGGUAAUACGUAGGGUGCGAGCGUUGUCCGGAAUUACUGGGCGUAAAGAGCUCGUAGGUGGUUUGUCGCGUCGUCUGUGAAAUUCCGGGGCUUAACUCCGGGCGUGCAGGCGAUACGGGCAUAACUUGAGUACUGUAGGGGAGACUGGAAUUCCUGGUGUAGCGGUGAAAUGCGCAGAUAUCAGGAGGAACACCGGUGGCGAAGGCGGGUCUCUGGGCAGUAACUGACGCUGAGGAGCGAAAGCAUGGGUAGCGAACAGGAUUAGAUACCCUGGUAGUCCAUGCCGUAAACGGUGGGCGCUAGGUGUAGGGGUCUUCCACGACUUCUGUGCCGUAGCUAACGCAUUAAGCGCCCCGCCUGGGGAGUACGGCCGCAAGGCUAAAACUCAAAGGAAUUGACGGA
rnacentral:rRNA from 1 species